CCCUAGCUGACGAGUCCCAAAUGGGACGAAAUGUGCAUCCUGGAU
rnacentral:hammerhead_ribozyme from 1 species